rnacentral:rRNA from 1 species
CUCAGAACGAACGCUGGCGGCAGGCCUAACACAUGCAAGUCGAGCGAACCCUUCGGGGUUAGCGGCGGACGGGUGAGUAACGCGUGGGAAUAUGCCCUUUGCUACGGAAUAGCCCCGGGAAACUGGGAGUAAUACCGUAUACGCCCUUUGGGGGAAAGAUUUAUCGGCAAAGGAUUAGCCCGCGUUGGAUUAGGUAGUUGGUGGGGUAAUGGCCUACCAAGCCGACGAUCCAUAGCUGGUUUGAGAGGAUGAUCAGCCACACUGGGACUGAGACACGGCCCAGACUCCUACGGGAGGCAGCAGUGGGGAAUCUUAGACAAUGGGGGCAACCCUGAUCUAGCCAUGCCGCGUGAGUGAUGAAGGCCCUAGGGUUGUAAAGCUCUUUCAGCUGGGAAGAUAAUGACGGUACCAGCAGAAGAAGCCCCGGCUAACUCCGUGCCAGCAGCCGCGGUAAUACGGAGGGGGCUAGCGUUGUUCGGAAUUACUGGGCGUAAAGCGCACGUAGGCGGACCGGAAAGUUGGGGGUGAAAUCCCGGGGCUCAACCUCGGAACUGCCUUCAAAACUAUCGGUCUGGAGUUCGAGAGAGGUGAGUGGAAUUCCGAGUGUAGAGGUGAAAUUCGUAGAUAUUCGGAGGAACACCAGUGGCGAAGGCGGCUCACUGGCUCGAUACUGA